AGAAGAACAAGUGUGGUUUAAGGUCUGAAUUACUUUCUUUAUCAAUCUGUGUCGCAGUUUGUUUUUCUCCAUCUAAAGGAGGAAAUGGGAAUUCUCUUUUUCAACCCAGAGCCGUGCAGAGACCAGAGUCUGAAGAACUCAGUAUGCCUGACUCAGUGAGGAACCACAGGCCCGACUCGACCUUCUCCCACCUGAAGAUAGAUGGCGCUGAAGCAGCAGAUGAUGAUAUAGACUCAGGAUACUCAUCUGUCAGUCUUGAUGACAACCAAUCGUCAUGUCCACCUCGUGAAUCCACCUGCAGUACUCAGUCAAAUGACAAAAGAAUUAAUUUCCAAAACAAGUAAGUGUUUUCAACAAUGAAUCCUGACAGUCAUGUUUGUACACACACACACA